GAUGAACGCUGGCGGCAGGCCUAACACAUGCAAGUCGAACGCCGUAGCAAUACGGAGUGGCAGACGGGUGAGUAACACGUGGGAACGUACCCUUCGGUUCGGGAUAACUCAGGGAAACUUGAGCUAAUACCGGAUACGUCCGAGAGGAGAAAGAUUUAUCGCCGAGGGAUCGGCCCGCGUCUGAUUAGCUUGUUGGUGAGGUAAUGGCUCACCAAGGCGACGAUCAGUAGCNGGAUCGAGAGGUUGACCAGCCACACUGGGACUGAGAUACGGCCCAGACUCCUACGGGAGGCAGCAGUGAGGAAUUUUCCGCAAUGGGCGAAAGCCUGACGGAGCAAUGCCGCGUGAAGGAAGACGCCUUUCGGGUGUAACUU
rnacentral:rRNA from 1 species